UACACACGGAUAACAUACCGAAAGGUAUGCUAAUGCGGGAUAAUAUAUUUGAGAGGCAUCUCUUGAAUAUCAAAGGUGAGCCAGUACAGGAUGGACCCGCGUCUGAUUAGCUAGUUGGUAAGGUAACGGCUUACCAAGGCGACGAUCAGUAGCCGACCUGAGAGGGUGAUCGGCCACAUUGGAACUGAGACACGGUCCAAACUCCUACGGGAGGCAGCAGUGGGGAAUAUUGCACAAUGGGCGAAAGCCUGAUGCAGCAACGCCGCGUGAGUGAUGAAGGCCUUCGGGUCGUAAAACUCUGUCCUAAAGGAAGAUAAUGACGGUACUUGAGGAGGAAGCCCCGGCUAACUACGUGCCAGCAGCCGCGGUAAUACGUAGGGGGCUAGCGUUAUCCGGAUUUACUGGGCGUAAAGGGUGCGUAGGCGGUCUUUCAAGUCAGGAGUGAAAGGCUACGGCUCAACCGUAGUAAGCUCUUGAAACUGGGAGACUUGAGUGCAGGAGAGGAGAGUGGAAUUCCUAGUGUAGCGGUGAAAUGCGUAGAUAUUAGGAGGAACACCAGUUGCGAAGGCGGCUCUCUGGACUGUAACUGACGCUGAGGCACGAAAGCGUGGGGAGCAAACAGGAUUAGAUACCCUGGUAGUCCACGCUGUAAGCGAUGAGUACUAGGUGUCGGGGGUUACCCCCUUCGGUGCCGCAG
rnacentral:rRNA from 1 species